rnacentral:rRNA from 1 species
UUAUAGAUUAUUUGUACCGUGAGGGGCAGAUUAAUUUACUUUUGUAAGUUGAUUUUAUUUGUUGUACCUUGUGUCUCAGGGUUUAUUAAUUUUUAUUAUUUAUUUUUAUUUCCCGAUUUCAGAGGAGUUAAGUGGGUAUUUUGAUUACUGUUUCAUCAGUAUCUUAAAUACUUAUUUGGUAGUGAUAUGUUAAUCGUUUCUGGUGGUAUCUGGUUUCUCAAGAAAUGAAUUUAAUUCACACUUCUUGUUUAGUUGUCAUUUUUCAUCUGUUUGUCUUUACUUGGGGUGAAGGUGUUAAGGGAUAAGCUUUAAUUCUUUAUUAUAAUGGUUUUGUUUGGGUUGUAUUGUGGGCUUUAUAUUGGCUAUCUAUUUGAGUAUUUUAAAAUUUUAUUUCCUUAGUUUAGUAAUUUGCGUUAAUUUAAUUUUGUAUUGGGAUGAUCGAUUUAAUUGUAUGGUCGUUGUAAUUAUGGUUGAAUUAGUAUAUUUGGAUUUAUUUUGUUUGGAUUUGUGUUAAGUUUUUUGGAGGAAUUAGGCAAAAGUUUGUUGGCGCCCGCCUGUUUAACAAAAACAUCUCUUCUUGUUAAGUUUUUGAAGUAUGGCCUGCCCACUGAUGGAUUUGAAGGGCCGCGGUAUUUUGACCGUGCAAAGGUAGCAUAAUCAUUAGUCCUUUAAUUGUGGACUGGAAUGAAUGGUUUGACGAGGUGCUAUCUGUCUUUGAAAUAUUUAUGUCGUUGAAUUUGGUGUUUGGGUAAAAAUACCUAGAUUUAUUUAUGGGACGAGAAGACCCUAUAGAGUUUAAUAUUAUUGGCUUUUGGUUAUGUUUGUCUCAUUUUGUUUAUGCUAAUAUUAUUUUGUUGGGGUGAUGGGAAGAUAAAGAUAACUCUUCCUUUGAAUUGUUUCAUUUAUUUGUGUAUUUUUGAUCCUUUAUUAUUGAUUGUAAGAUUAAAUUACCUUAGGGAUAACAGCGUAAUCUUUCCUGAGAGUUCCUAUUGACGGGAGGGUUUGCGACCUCGAUGUUGGAUUAAGGUGAAUUUUUGGUGUAGAAGCUUUAAGAAUAUACUUAUUAGGUCUGUUCGACCUUUAAAAUCUUACAUGAUCUGAGUUCAAACCGGCGUGAGCCAGGUUGGUUUCUAUCUAUAAUUCUUUUUCGAUUUCUUAGUACGAGAGGACCAGAGGUUGGGAAUAAUUUUGUUUGUUUUGAAUACUAUUAAUUU